GCAAGACGUGGCUGCGGACGACACGGCAGCAAGUGUGACCUGGCUACAAAAGCAGCCGCGGGAGCAGCAGCAACCAUGCCGACCGAGUGAGGCAACGCGGAUCUCGAAACUAUAGCUACGUGGGGAUACCGGAGGACACUGCCGCUUCCAAGAAGACAUGCGAAACUGGAGCAGAGGGGAGGUUUCUUGGAUCAAACAGGAGCACAGACGUCACAGGAUGAAGGAGUGCCUGGAGUUGGGUUCUUGGAGCAGUCUUCCGUGCGAGUCCGGGUGCCACCAGAAGUCCUCCUAGCCAGCUAAAGCAGGAGUGUGUGCAGUUGUGUUCUCGAGCCGUCGUCCGUGGGAGUCCCGGUACCACCAGACGUCCUCCUAGCCAGCAGGUGUACGUGGAGUUGGAACCUCGAGUCGGUCUCCCGUGUCAGUCUCGAUGCCACCAGACGUGCUCCUACCGGGCCAGCCCAUCCAGACGUGACAUUCCUACGCCGCUGACAAGAUCGAGCCACAACUAGGCACCCACGCACGACCGAGAGGGCCGCCCGGCACAUAUUGGACUCAUUCGUGAAAUCAGGUCCGGCCCCAGGGAGCACGAAUGUGCACCCUAGGGCCAUGACUUUGUCUAGG
rnacentral:lncRNA from 1 species